AACGAACGCUGGCGGUGUGCUUAACACAUGCAAGUCGAACGAGUACUUCGGUACUAGUGGCGGACGGGUGAGUAAUACAUAGAUAAUCUGCCUUAAAGUGGGGGAUAACUAGCCGAAAGGUUAGCUAAUACCGCAUAAUGUUGUAGUUUGAAACAGCUGCAAAGAAAGGAGUAAUUCGCUUUUAGAGGAGUCUAUGGUCGAUUAGCUAGUUGGUGGGGUAAAGGCCUACCAAGGCGACGAUCGAUAGCUGGUCUGAGAGGACGAUCAGCCACACUGGGACUGAGACACGGCCCAGACUUCUACGGAAGGCAGCAGUGGGGAAUUUUCCGCAAUGGGCGAAAGCCUGACGGAGCGACACCGCGUGGAGGAUGAAGUUUUUAGGAACGUAAACUCCUUUCGACAGGGACGAAUAAAUUGACGGUACCUGUAGAAGAAGCAUCGGCUAACUACGUGCCAGCAGCCGCGGU
rnacentral:rRNA from 1 species